rnacentral:rRNA from 1 species
CCUACGGGGGGCAGCAGUGAGGAAUAUUGGUCAAUGGGCGCGAGCCUGAACCAGCCAAGUAGCGUGAGGGAUGACUGCCCUACGGAUUGUAAACUUCUUUUAUAAAGGAAUAAAGUGAGGCACGUGUGCCGUUUUGUAUGUACUUUAUGAAUAAGGAUCGGCUAACUCCGUGCCAGCAGCCGCGGUAAUACGGAGGAUCCGAGCGUUAUCCGGAUUUAUUGGGUUUAAAGGGAGCGUAGAUGGGUUGUUAAGUCAGUUGUGAAAGUUUGCGGCUCAACCGUAAAAUUGCAAUUGAUACUGGCAGUCUUGAGUACAGUUGAGGUAGGCGGAAUGCGUGGUGUAGCGGUGAAAUGCUUAGAUAUCACGAAGAACCCCGAUUGCGAAGGCAGCCUACUAAACUGUCACUGACAUUGAUGCUCGAAAGUGUGGGGAUCAAACAGGAUUAGAUACCCGUGUAGUC